rnacentral:rRNA from 1 species
CCUACGGGUGGCAGCAGUGAGGAAUAUUGGUCAAUGGACGAGAGUCUGAACCAGCCAAGUAGCGUGAAGGAUGACUGCCCUAUGUGUUGUAAACUUCUUUUAUAUGGGAAUAAAACGUUCCACGUGUGGGAUUUUGUAUGUACCAUAUGAAUAAGGAUCGGCUAACUCCGUGCCAGCAGCCGCGGUAAUACGGAGGAUCCGAGCGUUAUCCGGAUUUAUUGGGUUUAAAGGGAGCGUAGGUGGAUUGUUAAGUCAGUUGUGAAAGUUUGCGGCUCAACCGUAAAAGUGCAGUUGAAACUGGCAGUCUUGAGUACAGUAGAGGUGGGCGGAAUUCGCGGUGUAGCGGUGAAAUGCUUAGAUAUCACGAAGAACUCCGAUUGCGAAGGCAGUUCACUGGACUGAAACUGACACUGAGGCGCGAAAGCGUGGGUAUCAAACAGGAUUAGAUACCCGGGUAGUC